GACUAUGUUUGGAAAAUGGACGCCUACUGCGGUUUUCUGUGAUUUGUUAUUGUUUUUUGAAAAAUCACAAUAAUAAAUAUGAGAUUAUUUGACUUACCUCAUAUUGCGCUGGAUAAGAUUUUAUCAUACUUAAGUUAUGAUGAAGUUUCAAAAUUAAGAGUGGUGUGCAAACAGUUUGACAACAUAUGUAAGCAGCGGUUGAACAUAGGGUUUACAAUGGCAGAGCGAUAUCACGCCCAGUGUUGGAAAGCGGUAAAAACGCAGCUGCCGCGCAGGGAGUCGGAAAGGCGGUCCCACCCCCUGUGUCGGCACAACGAAGUGCUCACUGCCUUGGAGACGCGUCUCUCCAUGCUUUCCAUGACAUACCUCAAGUUCAUUGACCUCGGCAUGUGCUGUUUCAUACCAGGGAAGGUUAUUGAUGAGAUAUUUAAAAUUCUUUACCUCGCUCGAGACUCAAAAAGUCUUCCACGCUCUCUUGAUGUUCUCCAGGAAUUGAGAGACAUUUCGUCAAUGGCAAUGGAACAUUUUGAAGAAAAAAUUCUUCCGUUUCUACGAGGCAAAAUAACACUUAACGACCCUGCACCAUGUCUAUUAUCAGUUCUAGAGAAAGUGCGAAGUCUUGAGUCAGAGCAGAUGGUCGGGAGCUCAAAUACACCUCCGGAAGGCUGUAACCAUCAUUUUUCAGUUACGAGUCAGGUCAAAGAGAACAAGACUGAAGUGGACAAAUUAAAAGAUGCUAACAAGAAACUUAAUUUUAAGCGCAUACAGCUGGCUUCGCAAGGAGGUGGGAGGGAGAGUUUCACCACAAACUAUGUGGCGUUCCUACAGACCAUGACGUCCUUCUGCACACUGCAAGCCCGACCAAACCCCUGCUUGGCAGGUCCUCACAAGACAGCAGUAGCUAGGUUUUUCGUUGCUGUGGAAAUGGCAUAUGGAUCACGCGAGGGUGAUGACGUUUUUGAAGAGGAAGGAUUUUAUGCAUCUUAUGGUUCAGAAGCUGAAGACUGCAGUUCUGAUUCUUUGUAUGAACCAUCAUCUGACUAUUCUGACACAUAAGAUGAAGAUUUUGCAAAAUGAAGGAAACAAAAGAAAAGUUUUUGUCAUAAAAAUGGCCUUUCACAAACUUGUCCGUCCGAGACACCUAAUACUGAUAAUGAAAGUGGUUUGUAAUUUUUUUUCCUUGUGAUUUAAAAAAUAUAUACAUUCGCCCUUUGAUUCUUUCAAGUAAAUUCGUGUCACUUUAUUUUUAUUCUUAUUAUUUUUUUAAUACGAAGACAAUGUUCCGCUAAUUCACAUUACGCAGCUUAGCAACGAUCCUAGACAAGGCCACUCAGGGGUGCCUUGCACAAGUAACAGUUCUGCUGAGACGCCAGCAAAAGCAACUGUCCGUGCAGCGUGCACGGCUGCAGGAGCUGGAUGCCCAGGUGGCGGAGCUGCGACGCACAGUGG